rnacentral:lncRNA from 1 species
UGGCGAUGGAAAGAAAAAGCAAAGAAAUAAAAAUAGGGGUUUCGACCCUUUUGUGGCUAUUUUACAUGAUUUCUGAUGAUGGGGCUCUAACCAUAGCCAAGAGUAGCAAACAAGAACAAAUCCCUAACUCUGACGACAAGUGCCAGUAGUGGAGGAAGCUAGAAAUAGAUGAUCAAAGAAAAUUUUUCAAAUCCAAAAAUAGGGGAUUAUGGGUGUUUCUUUUCCUUGGAUCU